GGCUUUCCGCUUUUGGCGCGGCCUUUGUCUCUAGCUGCAGCCGGCGUUUCAGGUCUCGUCUUCACUGGUCUGUGUCCUAUUCUCCUGGAGGCCCAGCCUCUGUGGCCCUGUGACCUGCAGGUAUUGGGAGAUCCACAGCUAAAACCCCAGGACACCCUGGAAGCAUAGAAAUGUCUCCCUCUGAUGCCGAGCCGAAGCUGGACUGUACUGCUGCCAUCUCGGCUCACUGCAACCUCCCUGCCUGAUUCUCCUGCCUCAGCCUGCCGAGUGCCUGCGAUUGCAGGUGCGCGCCGCCACGCCUGACUGGUUUUCGUACUUUUUUGGUGGAGACGGGGUUUCGCUGUGUUGGCCGGGCUGGUCUCCAGCUCCUAACCGCGAGUGAUCCGCCAGCCUCGGCCUCCUGAGGUGCCGGGAUUGCAGACGGAGUCUCGUUCACUCAGUGCUCAAUGUUGCCCAGGCUGGAGUGCAGUGGCGUGAUCUCAGCUGGCUACAACCUCCACCUCCCAGCCGCCUGCCUUGGCCUCCCAAAGUACCGAGAUUGCAGCCUCUGCCCGGCCGCCACCCCGUCUGGGAAGUGAGGAGCGUCUCUGCCUGGCCGCCCAUCGUCUGGGAUGUGAGGGGCCCCUCUGCCUGGCUGCCCAGUCUGAAAGUGAGGAGGGUCUCUGCCCGGCCGCCAUCCCAUCUAGGAAGUGACGAGCACCUCUUCCCAGCCACCAUCCCAUCUAGGAAGCAAGGAGCGUCUCUGCCCGGCCGCCCAUCGUAUGAGAUGUGGGGAGCGCCUCUGCCCCGCUGCCCCGUCUGGGAUAUGAGGAGCGCCUCUGCCCAGCCGCGACCCCGUCUGGGAGGUGAGGAGCGUCUCUGCCUGGCCGCCCCAUCUGAGAGG
rnacentral:lncRNA from 1 species